rnacentral:lncRNA from 1 species
CAAACGCAAAUCUAUAUUUAGAAUAUCAAAGUCAUGUCAACUCAGUUCGUUUAAGGUCUGUUUGAUUCAUUCUCUUAUGUACCACUAAAUAAUUUCAUAGGGAAUCAUAAACAAAGUGUUCUAGAAACGUUGAAAUCGUUAUCAAAUAAAACGGGAAGCUAGUUUUUUGGCUGAUAUGCAUUUCAAUUCUUUUGAUGUUAUCAUGAUGAAUGAAAUGACCUCAUUCAUUAAAUGAUUUCUCCAAAACAGCACCAACCGUUGAGUUACGUACCAACCGUACCAGAUACGUAGCAAAUCGGGAAACCUCUAGUAGAAGAGUACCGACGGACUUAAAUAUCGAGAAAUGGCUUAUUUUGAAUAAUUGAACAGACUGCCUUAACCCAUCUGCUCAUAUUAUACACCAAAUUAAAGCCUAUUAGCAGCCGAUCAAAUGGAAACUGAAUAAGGAAAUAGAAACCGAAUAAGGAAAUGAAAAUCGAAUAAGGAAAAAGAAACCAAAUAAGGAAUGAUAAUCGAAAAUGGAAAAAGAAAACGAAUAAGGAAACGAAAAAAAAUUUUGAAGAAAAACUUUUCGAGGAAAAAUAUUUUGAGGAAAAUAAAAAUUUGAGGAAAAAAAAAUUGAGGAAAAAAAAAUUUGAGGAAAAAAAAUUUUUCAGGAAAAAAAAAUUUGAGGGAAAAAAAUUUUGAGGAAAAAAAAAUUUUUAGGAAAAAAUUUUGAGGAAAAAAAUUUUGAGCAAAAAAAAUUUUGAAGGAAAAAAAAAAAAUUCAGUUUGGACUUGUAAAAUUUUUCAAAAUUUGAAUAUCGUAAAAGGAAAUGGAAACCGAAUAAGGAAAUGAAAAUCGAAAAAGGAAAUAGAAACCGAAUAAGGAACUAGAAACCGAAAAAGGAAAUGAAUAUUGAAAAAGGAAAAAGAAACCGAAUUAGGAAAUGAAAAUCGAAUAAGGAAACGAAAAUCCAUUUAGGAAAUAGAAACCGAAUAAGGAAAUAGAAACCGAAAAAGGAAAGGAAUAUUGAAAAAGGAAAAAGAAACCGAAUAAGGAAAUGAAAAUCGAAUAAGGAAAUGGAAAUCGAAUAAGGAAAUGAAAAUCCAAUAAGGAAAUAGAAACUGAAUAAGGAAAUAGAAACCGAAUAGGGAAAUGAAUAUUGAAAAAGGAAAAAGAAACUGAAUAAGGAAAUGAAAAUUGAAUAAGGAAAUAGAAACCGAAUAAGGAAAUAGAAACCGAAAAAGGAAAUGAAUAUUGAAAAAGGAAAAAGAAACCGAAUAAGGAAAAAGGAACCGAAUAAGGAAAAAGAAACCGAAAAAAGGAAAUGGAAAUUGAAUAAGGAAAUGAAAAUCCAAUAAGGAAAUAGAAACCGAAUAAGGAACUAGAAACCGAAAAAGGAAAUGAAUAUUGAAAAAGAAAAAGAAACCGAAUUAGGAAAUGAAAAUCGAAUAAGGAAAUGGAAAUCGAAUAAGAAAACGAAAAUCCAAUUAGGAAAUAGAAACCGAAUAAGGAAAUAGAAACCGAAUAAGGAAAUAGAAACCGAAAAAGGAAAUGAAUAUUGAAAAAGGAA